CCAUUUGCAUACAUGAGCAUUGAUUAUAUUUUCUUUUUUUUCAGGUUACAGUAUGAAAACUAGUGGAAUUGUUGGAUCUUCAAAUAUUAGUGGAACCUGUGAAACUGGCAAAUCUGAUGUAGAGGAUGGAGUUGCACAUAUUCAUGAGUUGAUAUUUUCAAUUUCUAUCAUGGAUAUGUCGCUGGCUACCGCUGGCCUUGAUUGGGCACGCAGUGUGGACGCAGCCAUGGACCAACGCAGCCAAGCUUACCAGGCUGGGCCAGCGACUCGACCAAUAUGUGGAAGCAGGACUGAAAUUUUUAAACAGGUGCGUUUGGAAUGUGUGGUGAGUUUAUUGAAGGCAGCUGUGGCUCCACUCAGCUCAUUCAUAAUGGAGGCACUUGCUCUGAAUCACCCUUUAACGGCCGCCAUUCGCCAACAACUGCAACUGGUUCCAAGCAAAAUGGUGCUAAAAAAUAUCAAUUCAAUGAAACCUACAACACCGUUCAUGAUGUGGAGGACGAUGAGGAAGAGCCGGCCGGGGAUUGAGACCUAGAGGCUGUGGAAGAGGCUGUUGAAGAGGCUGUCGAGGAGGCUGUCGAAGAGGCGAGUGGAGAGGCUAACUGAAGGAGGCUGAGGUUCUAAAUGAGCUGGAGCAAGUGAUUUGGAUGUAAUUUUUCAACAUGUCAUACGGAGUGUGCUGGGGGUUUGGUGCCCUCUCAAAGGGCACCAAAUAAGAGAGGCCCACCCACGAGUGCCUUCCAUCCCCCAACCACUGCACAUAGAAUGUUAUUCGGAAAACAUUGUUGGAGCACACUGAAAACAAACAUGAAGAAAAAAUUAAACUUAUUCUGCUUAUUGUAAAAAACUAGUGAAUAUGAAUACUGUAAUAAUCUACUCUAGUUACAAUCUACAUAAGAAAUGAAUUGAAUCUAAUGGCUGA
rnacentral:misc_RNA from 1 species